rnacentral:rRNA from 1 species
GACGAACGCUGGCGGCGUGCUUAACACAUGCAAGUCGAACGAAGUAGCGAACGGGUGAGUAACGCGUAAUCAACCUGCCCUUCAGCGGGGGACAACAGUUGGAAACGACUGCUCAUACCCCAAACUGAAUGAGGGGAUUGCGUUUGAUUGGCUAGUUGGAGGGGUAACGGCCAACCAAGGCGAUGAUCAGUAGCCGGUCUGAGAGGAUGACCGGCCACAUUGGGACUGAGACACGGCCCAGACUCCUACGGGAGGCAGCAGUGGGGAAUAUUGGACAAGGGGCGAAAGCCUGAUCCAGCCAUGCCGCGUGUGUGAAGAAGGUCUUCGGAUUGUAAAGCACUUUAAGUUGGGAGGCGUUACCAACAGAAUAAGCACCGGCUAACUUCGUGCCAGCAGCCGCGGUAAUUC